AGAGGUACAAGUUAGGGUGGAGCUUUGAGGCAGGCCAGAGUCCUCCGUCCCUCUGAUUCUUCACUGGUCUGUCCUGAGAUCAGAAACCCCUACCAGUCUGGAACUCAGAGACAAGGCUGCCAUGUAGAGUUGUGCAGGCUGUACACUAUACAAACUUAGCAUUAUUUUACUGACCCUUCUCACCUCCUAAAUCAUUCUUCCUUCAAACCAUCCAUUCUUCAAGCUUUGUCCCCUCCAAACCAUCCCCUAUCCCAACUCUCCUCUCUCCAAACUUCAGUUGAAUACAUUUAGAAAUACUUUUAAAUGAAUACCCUGAUACUUGCCAUCCAAACCUCAGGAACCACAUCAAUUGUGCAAACACUUUGCUAUCUGAACUUUCAUUAUUCAAACGUGGGAGAGGAAUAGAUGUGAACAUCAAGGAAACUUACAUUCAUUAUGAAAAUUUUCAACAGGUAGAAAUAAAGAGGAAGGAACCCUCCCUCUAAUUCUCAAGAUUCUGUGUAGGCAGGGGUAGCUCCAUUAUCCCAGGACCUUCCCCAGGCCCUCUGACCCUCCCAGUCCUCACAGCAGAAGUAAGACCUCCAAUUAAUAUCCUUCUAAGGACCCCAGGACCAGCCAGAUCUCAAAGAGGGAGCCCUGAUUGGCAGAUACCAUUACCUCUCACCCAGAAUCCAUACACUUUGUUUUACUCUUAGUAACCAAACCCCUGAGACUAUAAACAUUGCACAUGGCCACCCAGCCAAACACUACAUGUCCCAGCUUCCUUUGCAGCUAGGGAUGGUCAUAUGACCAUGUUCUGGCCAAUAGGAUGUAAGCAGAAGUGCUCUGGCCCAUUUCUGGGUCAUGACUUUGAACAGAAAAGCAGUUUGCACUCCACUGUCUUUCCACCCAUUUUGCUGGUUGGGAAAUGGUGGCCACGGGUGCAGUGGCCUCAGAUCCAGAGCUGCAGUCUCAUGUUAAGAUUGGUCCUGAAUCCUUGGAGGACCCUGCCUCCUACUUCUGGAUAGUUGCAUCACAGAGGACUAAACCUCUACCUCAUCUACUGUGCCUUAGGGUCUCUUCACUCCUGAAUCUCUAACCUAACUAUAUGCUAUCUCUUGGCCAGGACUUGGAGGCCAUUUAUAAUAGUGAUUAAAAGUACAGACUCUGGAGUCAGUCUGGAAUCUUUGCUCCUUGACUUACCAGCUGUGUGGCUUUGAACAAGUUACUUAACCUAUCUCUGCCUCACUUCCUCAGCUGUAAAACGGAGAUACAGGAUUGAUCUCACAGAAUUGUUAGGGGCAUUCAACCAGCUGAUGUAUACAGGCCCAGACUACGGUUACUGCUUGAUAAAUGUUGGCUAUUAUUAUUUUAAUUUAAUAACCCCCAAAUAAAUUCUGACUCAUCGAAUGCCUACUGUGUCUCAGACCCUGUGUGAGGUACAGGACACACCUGAUCUCCACCGGAUCCCUCUAAAGAGACUGGAGGCAGAGAACAUUGGCUCCAUCUCACACAGGAGGAAAUGGAGGCUCAGACACCUGCCGAUGGUCAUCUUGCUCGUGGAGUGCAGAGGCGAGAUUCGGAACUCAGAGCUGAAUCACCGCUUCCAAACACUCCGUUACCUUGCCCCCACCAAACAGUGACACCUGCAUCCCUUUAUUGGGUGUUUCCCAGAGUGCACCUGGGUGUCACACCCUCUAGCCCUGAUGGGUGGGAGUGUCAUGAUCCUGAAGCCCGCCCCACUCUGGGACUUGAACUGUGAUGUGAACCAAUUCAUUCUCUUUGUAUGCUCCAGCCAGCCUGCACUGGUUUCCCUCACUUGCCAGCUGAAGGCGCCUGAACCAACUCAGGCAAGCCAAAAGAUUGGCAACAGCCUGAACACCCCUUAAUAUGGGAAUAAUUAUCUAAGUCAAGAUAUUGCCACCCAAUGGAAUACCAUGCAACUAUAAAAAAUGUUCACAUACAGAAAGAUCUUCAAGAUAGACUGUGAGGUAGAAAGGGCAAGGUCAGGUAUGAGGUCUACAGUGGGCUACCAUGUGUUAAAAAGAGGAGAAAGUAUAUACCUAUCUAUAUCUAUUUAUCUGUACUUGUUUAUAAUGAAUGUUGCCCAAAGACUAUCACUUCUAUUAAAAGAGGAGAAUAUC